rnacentral:rRNA from 1 species
AGAGUUUGAUCCUGGCUCAGGACGAACGCUGGCGGCGUGCUUAACACAUGCAAGUCGAACGAUGAAGCGGUGCUUGCACCGUGGAUUAGUGGCGAACGGGUGAGUAAUACGUGAGUGACCUACCUUUGACUCUGGGAUAAGCCUGGGAAACUGGGUCUAAUACCGGAUACGACCAAUCUCUGCAUGGGGUGUUGGUGGAAAGCGUUAUGGAGUGGUUUUAGAUGGGCUCACGGCCUAUCAGCUUGUUGGUGAGGUAAUGGCUUACCAAGGCGACGACGGGUAGCCGGCCUGAGGGGGUGACCGGCCACACUGGGACUGAGACACGGCCCAGACUCCUACGGGAGGCAGCAGUGGGGAAUAUUGCACAAUGGGCGCAAGCCUGAUGCAGCGACGCCGCGUGAGGGAUGACGGCCUUCGGGUUGUAAACCUCUGUUAGCAUCGAAGAAGCGAAAGUGACGGUAGGUGCAGAGAAAGCGCCGGCUAACUACGUGCCAGCAGCCGCGGUAAUACGUAGGGCGCGAGCGUUGUCCGGAAUUAUUGGGCGUAAAGAGCUUGUAGGCGGUUGGUCGCGUCUGCUGUGAAAGGCCGGGGCUUAACUCCGGUUUUGCAGUGGGUACGGGCUAACUAGAGUGCAGUAGGGGAGACUGGAAUUCCUGGUGUAGCGGUGGAAUGCACAGAUAUCAGGAGGAACACCGAUGGCGAAGGCAGGUCUCUGGGCUGUAACUGACGCUGAGAAGCGAAAGCAUGGGGAGCGAACAGGAUUAGAUACCCUGGUAGUCCAUGCCGUAAACGUUGGGCACUAGGUGUGGGGGACAUUCCACGUUUUCCGCGCCGUAGCUAACGCAUUAAGUGCCCCGCCUGGGGAGUACGGCCGCAAGGCUAAAACUCAAAGGAAUUGACGGGGCCCGCACAAGCGGCGGAGCAUGCGGAUUAAUUCGAUGCAACGCGAAGAACCUUACCAAGGCUUGACAUGCAUUAGAUCGCGUCAGAGAUGGCGUUUCCCUUCGGGGCUGGUGUACAGGUGGUGCAUGGUUGUCGUCAGCUCGUGUCGUGAGAUGUUGGGUUAAGUCCCGCAACGAGCGCAACCCUCGUUCUAUGUUGCCAGCGGUUCGGCCGGGGACUCAUAGGAGACUGCCGGGGUCAACUCGGAGGAAGGUGGGGAUGACGUCAAAUCAUCAUGCCCCUUAUGUCUUGGGCUUCACGCAUGCUACAAUGGCCGGUACAGAGGGUUGCGAUACUGUGAGGUGGAGCUAAUCCCUUAAAGCCGGUCUCAGUUCGGAUUGGGGUCUGCAACUCGACCCCAUGAAGUCGGAGUCGCUAGUAAUCGCAGAUCAGCAACGCUGCGGUGAAUACGUUCCCGGGCCUUGUACACACCGCCCGU